rnacentral:rRNA from 1 species
ACUUAAGCAUAUCAAUAAGCGGAGGAAAAGAAACCAACCGGGAUUGCCUCAGUAACGGCGAGUGAAGCGGCAAGAGCUCAAAUUUGAAAUCUGGCCCCUCCGGGGUCCGAGUUGUAAUUUGCAGAGGAUGCUUCGGGUGCGGCCCCUGUCUAAGUGCCCUGGAACGGGCCGUCAGAGAGGGUGAGAAUCCCGUCUUGGGCAGGGUGCCCGUGCCCGUGUGAAGCUCCUUCGACGAGUCGAGUUGUUUGGGAAUGCAGCUCUAAAUGGGUGGUAAAUUUCAUCUAAAGCUAAAUACCGGCCGGAGACCGAUAGCGCACAAGUAGAGUGAUCGAAAGAUGAAAAGCACUUUGAAAAGAGAGUUAAACAGCACGUGAAAUUGUUGAAAGGGAAGCGCUUGCGACCAGACUCGGCCCCGGGGUUCAGCCAGCACUCGUGCUGGUGUACUUCCCCGGGGGCGGGCCAGCGUCGGUUUGGGCGGCCGGUCAAAGGCCCCAGGAAUGUGUCGCCCUCCGGGGCGUCUUAUAGCCUGGGGUGCAAUGCGGCCAGCCCGGACCGAGGAACGCGCUUCGGCACGGACGCUGGCGUAAUGGUCGCAAACGACCCGUCUUGAAACACGGACCAAGGAGUCUAACAUCUACGCGAGUGUUCGGGUGUCAAACCCGUACGCGCAGUGAAAGCGAACGGAGGUGGGAGCCCCGCAAGGGGCGCACCAUCGACCGAUCCUGAUGUCUUCGGAUGGAUUUGAGUAAGAGCGUAGCUGUGGGGACCCGAAAGAUGGUGAACUAUGCCUGAAUAGGGCGAAGCCAGAGGAAACUCUGGUGGAGGCUCGCAGCGGUUCUGACGUGCAAAUCGAUCGUCAAAUUUGGGUAUAGGGGCGAAAGACUAAUCGAACCAUCUGGUAGCUGGUUCCUGCCGAAUU